rnacentral:rRNA from 1 species
UGGGGAAUAUUGGACAAUGGGGGCAACCCUGUUCCAGCAAUGCCGCGGGUGUGAAGAAGGCCUGCGGGUUGUAAAGCACUUUCAGAGGGGAAGAAAAAAUCGGAUGUAACACAUCUGAGCUUGACGUUACUCUUAGAAGAAGCACCGGCUAACUCUGUGCCAGCAGCCGCGGUAAUACAGAGGGUGCGAGCGUUGUCCGGAAUCACUGGGCGUAAAGGGCGCGUAGGUGGCUGGGUAAGCGUGUGGUGAAAGUCCGGGGCUCAACCCCGGAUCUGCCGUGCGAACUGCCGAGCUCGAGCAAUGUAGAGGCAGGUGGAAUUUCGGGUGUAGCGGUGGAAUGCGUAGAUAUCCGAAAGAACACCAGUGGCGAAGGCGGCCUGCUGGGCAUUAGCUGACACUGAGGCGCGACAGCGUGGGGAGCAAA